GAAGCCCUGGCAAUGUGAGCACUUUCCCAGCUGGCCAUUAUGGGUUGGAACGGGGCUUGAAGAUCCUCUGGCCCUUCAGCUGCUCACCUCCUGUUUCUGGCUAUCCACAUCUCCUCCGCAUGGGCAUUUUGCAUUGUUAGCCCUAGGAGUGGCUGGGCUUCCAGGAGAGUUCUUGGCCACUAGCCAGCAGAGUCCCAGACCUUCGAAGCUGGCAGCAGGGGCAGAGAACCGAGUGUGAUUCCCCUUGCUAGCCCCAGCUCUGAAGCCCACAGUAAGGAGACUCUCCCCAAUUGCAGGGUGUUAGAGGAACAGCCAGCCAGGAAAGCCCUCUGUCAUCCACGAAGUGCCUUCUUCAUGUGAUGUCAUAUGGUCCUGCUGAUGGCUCUGAGGAGACUGUGAAGUAUUCUUUGCAUCCAGGAAAACGAGGUGCUAUUUGGCUUGCACCCAUCAGAGAGUGUCUCCCCUGAUAUGACUCAAUUUGGCCUCUGUUCUGCAGAGGAGCCCUGGUUCACGGAGAAAGGUCAAUGGCUAAAGCCGCCACAGGAGCUGCACGUGGAAAGCCAGGUGGAUAUCUUCUCUCCACAGCACCAUCAGCCCGGCCACAUCCUCACGCACUUAAGGGCUCUUGUCACCUAAGAGAUGACAUCCAACUCUGCCUUCUCUCAUGGGACGUCUGAGAGGUCACUGCCUUUCACAACAUCCAGAGUUGAGUGGAUAAGAUGGGGUGACAAAAAGGUUAGGCCUGGGCUCCAUCCCAGCUCUCUUGCUUUCUUACUAUGGCCUCGAGCAAGCAACUGCUCUUUGCACCUCAGCUCCCUCCUCUAGGUGGGCAGUACACUGCCUGCUUCGAGCGCUACUAGCUGAGCAUUCAUUGAGGAGAUUCACUCAAAGAACUGACCAGGGGGCCUUGCCCAGAGCAGGUGCUCAGUCCACCCUGAGCUUCUUAGCCCUGCAUCAGCUACUGCUUGUUCUACUGGCCCUGGCCUCGAUUGGGUUUCACUUUUUACCAACCUGCUCUGUAUCUGGAGCCACCCUUGUGCCUCCCUGUGCAUGCUCUAUAUCUGGUCCUUCCAGCUAGACCUCGCUAAUGUUUCUGCACUUGCUUCUCCCAGGAGGCUUGCAUUUUGGUUCGGUUGGUGGCACCCUUGGCCUGCACAGUCGGCUGUCUUAGCAGGGUUCACCAGUUACAGGCUCUUUGCACUCAAACCUAGCCUCGCUUGUGUGUAUUUGAAAUACCAAACGUGACAUGCAACACUCAAUGUGCAAGCCCAUUCCUGUGAGUUUUAUGCUUGGUGGCCAGCGGGGCCCACUGUGCCUAGCACACUCACCUCUCUGUGCCCUGCUCACGCUGUACCCUAGGUCUGGAUGGCCCUCCCCGCAACUUUAACUUGGCUUGUUUGUCCUGAGAAAGCCUAUCCAGACCUCCCAUGCUCCCUUCAUAUUCAACAUGUCCCCUCUCACCCCAGUCUCAGAGUACCCUAGGCUUUGCUCUGGGUUGCACCAAAGCCUGUGGGCCACAUGUCUUUGUUCACAUACUGCCUUGCCCACUGCUUCCUGGCAUGUUGUGGGCAGAGCCUGGUGCAUGGCCCAAGUAGCUGGUUUGGGAAUAAGACUGAGAGUUUCAUUUCAAAGCUCGGAGUGCUCAUGAGGCAAGUAUGACAUCUGCAGGAGGAGCUCCUGGGAGAGCGCAGGGUAGGGAUGACGAUCCGGAGGCAUCAGCUGGCAGAUGCUCAGGAAGGCUUGGGCGAGAACAAGAUCAUCCUGGGAAAUCUUGAGGAGGAAAGGAAGAAAGUCGAGGAGGGACCUCGGAGGAAAAGCAUUCAUUUAAAGAGCAAGACUCAAUGGCAGCCCGUUAGAAGAUAAAAUGGGAACGGAAAACAUUUAUAGCCACAGCGAAAAAGAUGAAAAAACCUAGGAAUAAACAUAAGAAGCAACGUGCAAGAUCUAAGCAGAGGAGGUAUUAAAAUGCUUCCAAGCAACAAGAAGCAUUUGAAUAAUGUUCUUGGACAUGAAAACGAACAUCGUGAAAUUGUCUGUUUUCCCUCAGAUGAUUCAGAAUUUAAUAAGAGUCUCGAUAGAAACCAAGCCUUUGUUGUCAGUGUUUAGACAAACUGAUUCUAGCGUUCCUAUGGAAAAAUAAAUAAGUAUCCAGACAGUUCUCCAUGGACUCCUUAUGUUGCUGCUUUGGCUGAGCAGAGCCUACUCCAAACUGCAAGGAGCAUGCAUGGCCACAGAGAGUGUGGUCCUCAGACGUGGAGAGAAAUUUGCAUACUGCCCACAGGAUACAGGUAAUGCUCCCCACCCCCCCGCCCCCCGCAACCACCCCGGGGUAGAGAUCAGAUAUCUAGUGGAAAUAGAUUUGACUCCACUCAUCUCAAGACUGUCCCUUGCUAUCAUAACCACUGCCUAUACAGCCUCUUCAUCUCUGCUGUGGCACCCGGGACUCACGUGACCACCACAAAUGAGAAGCUCACGUAACCACCACACAUGUUGCUACUCUGACCACUGCUGCUGAUAUGAAUAAUAAAGCAUCCCCCAUGUGUGCAUUCCCACACUCCCCCUGUGCGUGUGUAUAUACGUGCAGAAGGCAAAGGGCAACUUCAGAUGUCAGUCCUCCAUGCUACCUUGUCUGAGACAGGCUCCCCUUUGCUGUUUUGCUGCUGUGAAUGGCAGGCUUGCUGGUUUGCAAGUUCCUGGAGAGAUUCCUAUUUCUACCUCCCAUCUCCCUGCAGUCUGGAAUUACAAAUGGGUGCUACCGUAGUACCCAGCUUUUAUGUGGGUCCUGAGGAUUCGAACUUAGGUCUUCGUAUUUGCAAGGCAGGCCCUUUUACCCACGGAGCCACCUCCUCAGCCUUGAUUAAAGCGCUGUCUCCUGUACCUUCUGCCAGAACCUAGGAAACAGGGCAAGUUGAUCUGUUGUCUCCAAAAAGAGAAAAACCCACGAACUCGUCACAGUCCUUGACAGGGAGAGUAGCUAGGACAUAGCUGGAAUGGGGGCAGCCAGGAGGGGACUUAGCUACCUGUCAAUAUCAAACACAGCAACAAGGAAAUGCUGGGAGGCCUAGCAGUGCAAAUAAACCCAGAACUUACACAUGGGAACUUAGCCUAAGGUAAUACACCAUUUCAAACUGAGUGUGAAAAUGUUUUAUUCAAGAAAUGAAGUCAGGGAAACUGGAGAAGUAAAAAGUUGGAGUCACAUCUUAAACUUCAUACCAGGACAAAUUCCAUGUGAGACAAAUACGUGAACGUAACAAAAUGAAACCACAAGUGUAGCAGCUACACAGAAGGUGUGCUGAGCUCAGAAUGAGACCAGCCUAGCAGCCCGAAGAGAAGGGGCCGAUAGCCAACUCCUAACACUUACGGAUGGCAGAACUCAACUGAGCAUAGUUGUCCGAAGUUGUAAUUUCAUCAUCAGAGAGGUAGAGGCAGGAGGACCCUCUCUGUGACCACCUCCGUCCCCGGCAAAAAGACAAAAAUAAAAUAACAACAAUAACAACAAAAACCACCUAACAGAGCAGUGGAGAGAUGAGCUGGCUAUGACGGGGAAAGAGAAUCUGCAGUUAGCCCAGAACACAGAGGCUUGCUGGAGGAGCCGGCCGAGGGAGGCCUCUCAAGGAGACGGAGCUACGGUGUGGGACCCUGUGAAGACACUGACAUGUCAAAUACUGAUGUGUAGGGAGGGUCUAUGGAUGUGUUCAUCGGCUCAACAGGACCCCUGGGAAGGGGCUCUUUCCUGUAACAUGACCUCCGUAUUUACCUGCCUAGAGCCAGUCCUUAUAGAAUGAGUGAUAACUAUGAUGGCUGAUUUCAAUGACCAACUUGAGAUGGAGAAUUAUCUGGGAGUCGGGCCUCAGAACAUACUGUAAAGACCCAGGAGCCAGAAGCUGGGGUGAAAACCUGCUAGCUCAGAGAGGCAGCUGCUUCGUCCUUUGCCAUCAUCCCAGAAAGAGGUCUCUCCUACCAUCUCAAACAGAAGAAAUUCCUCCAAGUGGAUAUCCCUCCCUUCUAAUUCCUGUGUGUCUCUCUAUCCAUCCUCCUGACUCCCCCUUAUUCUCUAUUGUUUUUACUUCCUGUCAACUUGUUGCUUGCUCUUCCAUUUGACCUAUGGUUGAUUUUAUUUAAUCCUAUUUAUAAUACUCAAGCAGAAAGCUCUUGGAUUAAAGGUGUGUGCUAGGGCUGAGCCAUACCACAGCUAGAAGCAGGUAUUUCCAGUAAAUAAUGCAAUCUAAGGGUUCACCAUGUAGUCAAAUAUCCUGCAACAAAAUACCCUGAUAAAAAGCAUCUUAGGAGACAAAAAAGAUUGUUUUAGCUUACAAUUCCAGAUUACAGUUCAUCACUGCAGGGAAGUCAAUGUAGGAACCUGAAGUAGUUAGUCACAUUCACGGUCAAGAGCAGAGAAAAAUGAAUGUAUGCAUGCUUACCUAUGUUCAGUUUACUCUCUACAGUAAGCAGUCCAGGAUCCCCUGCCUGGGGAAUGGUGUCACUCACAGUGGUCUGCGUCUUCACACAUCAAUUAAUAUGUAAUCAAGAAGUCCCCCAUAAAUAUGUCCACCGGCCAACCUUAUUUAGACAGCUGAGAAUCAUUGAGAUUCUUUCCCUAUGUGAUUCUAGAUUGUGUCAAAUUGGAAAUUAAAACUACUACAUCAACUUUUACUUUGAGCUUAUCUGUUUUUAUAUUUAAAAUAAAUAUUUUGUGACAGGUGUGGUUGCUCACACCUGUAUUCCCAGGACCUGGGAGGUUGAGAUAAGAAGAUUGCUAACAAUUUGAGGCUGGUAUGUGCUACAAAGUAAGUUUUUCUUA